GACGAACGCUGGCGGCGUGCUUAACACAUGCAAGUCGAGCGGUAAGGCCCUUUCGGGGGUACACGAGCGGCGAACGGGUGAGUAACACGUGGGUGACCUGCCCUCAGCUCUGGGAUAAGCCUGGGAAACCGGGUCUAAUACCGGAUAUGACCUCAUGACUCAUGUUGUGGGGUGGAAAGCCUUGUGCGGCUAGGGAUGGGCCCGCGGCCUAUCAGCUUGUUGGUGGGGUAAUUGCCACCAAGGCGACGACGGGUAGCCGGCCUGAGAGGGCGACCGGCCACACUGGGACUGAGACACGGCCCAGACUCCUACGGGAGGCAGCAGUGGGGAAUCUUGCGCAAUGGGCGAAAGCCUGACGCAGCGACGCCGCGUGAGGGAUGACGGCCUGGUGUAAC
rnacentral:rRNA from 1 species